GUGCUCGCUUCAGCAGCACAUAUAAUAAAUUUGGAAUGAUACAGAGAAGAUUAAGCCUGGCCCCUGCGCAAGGAUGACACACAAAUUCGUGAAGCAUUCCAUAUUUUU
rnacentral:snRNA from 1 species